UUUACUUCUAAUUGUUGGUGCCUACAAGCUAUCGCUGAAGCUGAAGCCCAAUCGUUGAAAAUGGAUGCCAUACCUAUGAGGUGUUUAACAGAAAAUCCAAAAAGAAAAGGGCAGAUUCCAUCACCAUCAAUCUUCUUGCUCCGUGAGAAGCAAGUUGUGGCUAACUAUAACGAGACCCUAAUUAAAGAUCACCGUUCAGAUUCAAAUGAAAGGCUGGAAAGUGGAUUAAUUCUUUGAUCACAUUUUGCUAUUAUGUAUUCCAAUUAUGCUUUGGCUAUUUGAUAUGGUGCAAGGUUCAUCUCGGGAAAAGGAUAUACUGGUGGUCAAGUUCUUAAUGUUUUCGACUCCAAGCUUCUCCAUGAAGUGGCAAGCGAUUUACUUUUUGAGAGGUUGUGUCCGCCAGCUUAAGCUAAGAUAUUUCACCAAAGUAGAUCACAUCAAUUUGCCGAGUUGGAUUUCAAAUAAUGUUUUCCAAUCUCAAGAAUGUUAAAAUUAUCGGUUGCCUAAUGACGCAGUUGAAGGUGUGGUCUGAAGCAGAUUUUUGUAAGCUUUUCAAACUUUUGAGGUUUCUACUAAAGAAUGCAGUGGCUUUGCAAAAGUUUGUUAUCCUAACAAAGAGGAGAAAAUGUUUCACUUGUUUAAACAACUUUGUGUUCCGGCAUUUAUCACGAUUGACUAAGAAAUUGUUACACAGUAAAAAAUCAUCAACAAAUUUCGUGAUUGUUUAUCUACAGAUUGCUUAGCCAACCGUUAUAAAUAAUCACGAAAUUUGUUGUAGUGUUUCUAGCCACUUCAACAAAUACAUAUUUUUCAACAAAAUAUAAGGUGUAUCUAGCAGUUAAGAGUUGUGAACCUUGCGCUAAUUUGAUGCGUCAUAUUUUUGAAAUUCUGGCUGCGCCACAGAAGAUGGAAGAAUACGAGGCUGCCGGUAUGAAGUAGGAAUCAAUCCCCCAAUCUAUCGAUUCAACUUAUAAUAAUCUUCUUAUUAUGAUCAUUAUGUAUGCAGUACAAUUGAGUUAGAGUUGAGUUGUGAUAAGAAAACUUGGAAUCUGUGGGCAUGCUAAUUGAAAAUCCACAAGUAUCGACUAUCGUGAAACAAGCACUUGAUAGUUGAUCCUAAUCCUGUGGGGUUGGUCCUAAAUAUCUCAGGGCACGUAGGCUAUAAGAUGGAUUCAAUAGUUUUUUCUAGAGUGGAAACAUUGAGCACAAAUUUAUUCACAACUCUUUUUGAACUUGGAUAUUGGGCAAACAUCCAUAGUUUCUAGCACUAUCUGACUAUCCAAAUGGUUCCUGGAUUAUUCCAAUCCUCUGGAUAUCCUGCAGUAGUUGCAAUGAUUGGAAAUUAGUUUUGCAAAGAAGAGGAUACUUAUAAUGGGUAUUUAGAAUGCUCACACUUCUGUUGGGAAUGUUACGGGGUCAUUAGUUGCAUCAAUAUAUUAAAAUACGGAUGGGUUGGAAUUAUUUAUCUGUUCCUUUUCAGUUUCUCAUUAUGUCUUGCCCAUAACAUACAUGAUUUAUUAUAAAUGCUACACACUUUCAUUCUAAUCACAAUUGAAAAGUAUUGGUCUUUCAUCUAAAUAGUCAGGGGUUAACCAACCUCAACUGGUCCUUAUUGGAUGGAGCUUUCCAUUUGACUCUUCCUAAAGAGUCUCAUGAUUUGGAUUUGGAUAGCCAAGAUUGUUUUGAUGAAGAGGGAUAGCCAAGAUUUGUUGGAGGAAUUUGAGAAAGUUGCUACUUAUGGAGGAAAUGAAAGUACCAAUUGUAUUCGAAUCUUCAAGCGCAGGGCUGA